CUGUAAUCUCUUUUUUCCAUAGUUGCAACGCUAUUUGCUGUUGCUCAGUGUUGCUUUGAGCUGAUUGGUUAAGCUGACUGUCACUCAGGAAUCUGGCCAAUGACUAGCGAGCGCGCCGUUUUCCCGCUCAAAUUUGAAUGUACACUUUCAUAGCAGUGUCUGUCAGUGUGUCGCUGCUGCUCGGCUUCUGCAGUCUGCUGCGGUCUCUCCUCUAGUAAUGGCUUUUAUAUGUAUUAUCUGAGUGUUAAAUUCAUAUUUUGAGUGAGUUUGUGUUGUGGGAUGAUGAUUGAGAACGAAUAAACGCGAAUAUGGACACUUCUACCAGCAGCUAACAGACAAGCAAACUGCAAAAGAGAGGACCUGAAAGCAUGAUCCUUGGACUCCUUGGAGAAGAAUACUGUAUGCAAAACAGGAUUUUGGAUCAGCUGUGAAGAUUUUGUAUGGAGCUGUUUUGGAAAUGAAAAUCUUCUACCAUAUGAUCUUCAGAGGAACUAAUCCAGCCGAUUGCUGGCAAUUUGGAGGAGGACUGCUCUUUAUCUGCUGUGUCUGUCACGUCUGGCCAUGCAGGGCUCGCAAAAUUUCAAAAUCCCUG